rnacentral:rRNA from 1 species
GAUGAACGCUGGCGGCGUGCUUAACACAUGCAAGUCGAACGAAGCACCUCUCCCGAAGAUUGACACAGCUUGCUGUAGAUUGAUUCAUUUGAGGUGACUGAGUGGCGGACGGGUGAGUAACGCGUGGGUAACCUGCCUCAUAGAGGGGGACAACAGUUGGAAACGACUGCUAAUACUGCAUAGUAAGAAGAAUUCGCAUGUUUUCUUCUUGAAAGAUUUAUCGGUAUGAGAUGGACCCGCGUCUGAUUAGCUAGUUGGUAAGGUAACGGCUUACCAAGGCGACGAUCGGUAGCCGGCUUGAGAGAGUGAACGGCCACAUUGGGACUGAGACACAGCCCAAACUCCUACGGGAGGCAGCAGUGGGGAAUAUUGCACAAUGGGGGAAGCCCUGAUGCAGCGACGCCGCGUAAGUGAAGAAGUAUGUCGGUAUGUAAAGCUCUAUCAGCAGGGAAGAUAAUGACGGUACCUGACUAAGAAGCCCCGGCUAACUACGUG